GCUUGUUGGAAACGGGAUCAAGGGACAGCACUCCCAUCAAAACCCUGACUGGAGUGUUUUUGUAAACAAACGUCGUAACGUCGAAGCAUCUCGGUGUGGAAGCAAGUCAUGCCAGACUCUGAUACCCUCAGUCAGGUCAGCAGGUGCUCAGAAGAGCCUGAAUACAUCCUGGUGCACGGUCGCUGUCCAGUGUACACCGCAAACAUGUGACCAUGAUACACAGUAUGAGACACCAAGUGAGGCUGACAGCAAGCAUGAUACACCUUACACAAGUGAUGAUGACAGUGACAGUGAUGAAGACUACCACCCUCUUUCAAGCCAAGUCAGGUUUGAGGAAUUUCAGUCCCAGCAAGAGUAUGUAUUGUAUGUACCGUUAUCCAAUUCAUAUCAAAUCUACCAUAGCAUGAAAUAUUAAAAAAACAUUUGAACACACAAUCUAACAUGUACAAUCACUUCACAGUCAAUCAACAAUUUGAAUAUAUUUGUAAUUUGACAGUUGUUAUUUUAAAUUUCAGGUCCCUCAAUCAUCAUCUUGAAGAAACAAAGUUCCUGGUGUUCAAAUCCAAUUUGUUGUCAUUGUUCUUGUUUUGCAAGUUAUGCUUUUGUUCAUGCAGAGCCACUAUUUAUAAAGUCUGUGGUAGUCUUGUGACUGUGCAGAUAUAGUGCCUUAGACACAAAGAGCAUCUGUAUUUCUGGAGUAGUCAGCCAGUGCACAAACAACUGCCACUAGGCAAUUUGGCCAUAGCUUGUGCUAUUUUCUUUAGCAGCCUU